rnacentral:rRNA from 1 species
UACGUAGGGUGCAAGCGUUAAUCGGAAUUACUGGGCGUAAAGCGCGCGUAGGCGGCUUUGCAAGUCGGGUGUGAAAUCCCCAGGCUUAACCUGGGAACUGCAUUCGAGACUGCAUUGCUAGAGUAUGGGAGAGGGAAGUGGAAUUUCCGGUGUAGCGGUGAAAUGCGUAGAUAUCGGAAGGAACAUCAGUGGCGAAAGCGACUUCCUGGACCAAUACUGACGCUCAUGUGCGAAAGCGUGGGGAGCAACCAGG